AUUGAACGCUGGCGGCAUGCUUUACACAUGCAAGUCGAACGGUAACAGGCCGCAAGGUGCUGACGAGUGGCGAACGGGUGAGUAAUGCAUCGGAACGUGCCCAGUCGCGGGGGAUAACGCAGCGAAAGCUGCGCUAAUACCGCAUACGACCUAUGGAUGAAAGCGGGGGACCGUAAGGCCUCGCGCGAUUGUAGCGGCCGAUGUCAGAUUAGGUAGUUGGUGGGGUAAAGGCUCACCAAGCCAACGAUCUGUAGCUGGUCUGAGAGGACGACCAGCCACACUGGGACUGAGACACGGCCCAGACUCCUACGGGAGGCAGCAGUGGGGAAUUUUGGACAAUGGGCGCAAGCCUGAUCCAGCAAUGCCGCGUGCAGGAAGAAGGCCUUCGGGUUGUAAACUGCUUUUGUACGGAACGAAACGGCUCUCACUAAUACUGGGGGCUAAUGACGGUACCGUAAGAAUAAGCACCGGCUAACUACGUGCCAGCAGCCGCGGUAACAC
rnacentral:rRNA from 1 species